UCGUUUAGUCGCUCUUGGACAUCCAUACAUGGGACCUACUUCUGUCAAGGGCCGGACAGGAGAGGCGCCUUCAUUUCCCCCGUUUCAUAUCCUGUCCUGUCUAGAGUGUGGCCGAAAAGGAGUCAACGAAAGCAGGGGAAGUGGAACUAGAAAUGAAACAAACUAUAUUUUUUGUUAAAAUGGAAAAAUGGGAAGUGCAAUGAUUUUGUGUGAAAUGCUAUAUAUUUUUGGAGUGUAAUAAAUGUAUGAGGAUGAA
rnacentral:lncRNA from 1 species